ensembl:rRNA n-R5s28 nuclear encoded rRNA 5S 28
GUCUACGGCCAUACCACCCUGAACGCGCCCGAUCUCAUCUGAUCUCGGAAGCUAAACAGAGUCGGGCCUGGUUAGUACUUGGAUGGGAGAUCGCCUAGGAGUACCGGGUGCUGUAGGCU